AGCCCAUCAGGGUCUUUCCCGCCUUCUCCGCCGCCGGCUCAGCUUCGGUGUUGGUGGGCCGGUCUGCGGGCCACCCCCUCACCAUUCCUGUUGUGGGGCCCACACCAGCAACUCGCAGACUCCUGUUCCCUGUGCAGCCGACGUCUCUGCUGUCCCCACCCCCACCCUGCGGUCCCACUGCCAACAGCGUCUCCUCAGCGCAACGCUCAGCCCGGCGGCCGCCAUCUUCCCCGCAGACAUCACUGCAGGACGAUCACUGUCUGGCACGUCUCUCCUGCCAUGUCUGCCACAGAGGAGCACGACUGGAUCCCAGGUGGCCCGGAUAGAGCUGGUGGCGGGGCGGGCCGCGACCCCAGUCUCCUUGGGGUCCAAGCAUCUGCUUGCGAGGGGACGGAAGGAGUCGAGGUGGCCACGGCUCUUCUGGCUUCCUUGGAGGUCUCCAGAGCCCUUCCCGCGGAGCAGGGUUGGCCACAAGCCCCAGUGGAAGAGGAAUGCGGUAGAGAGCCGUUAGAGGAGUUGGAGAUGGAGGAAGGUGUAGAGAUGCAGGAGGACGAGGAAGAGGGUGAGGCUGACUUCGACUUGGAGGACGUGGAGGAGGAGGAGCACCUGUCUGGAGAGGGCGAGGAAGAGGAGGACGAGAGUGAGCAGGAGGGUGCGGCAGAGGUUACAGGCCUUGGGUUCUGCGUGGAGACGUUUGGGCCCCUGUUCUGGAGUCACGUCGACUCCUUUCUACACAACUUCCGUGACAACAAACAUGUCCUGUUCCGGCCUCCCACUGACCGCCUGAUGGCCAGGGGCCGCUCCCAGCCACCCUCGGACCCUGGAGAAGGUCCGGUGCCUCCUCAGGAGCAGGAAGACCUGGGAGAGGGAGGCAGAGUCUUGCAGGGCCUAGACUCUGCUGCUGAUUUGAAGUUGGGAUAUUUUCCCUGCCAACUUUUGACCCCAAUGUCUGCAUCAUUCUGCCCCAAUGAUGAGGGUGAGGAUCAGUAUGAAAACACUGAUGAAGAGGAAGAGGAUGGAAAUGAAAAACCUGAAGGACUCUAAAUGGAUGUGGUCUCAGCAAAGAGCAGCUCUGGAUAAUACAGUGGGAAGGCAUUGAAAGAAGCAGACAGCAAAGGAAAAGAUGAAUUUGUUCUUCAUGGAUAUUCUUGUUUUCAUUAGCCUGAAAUACUAAUUUUGUUUCAAAGUUUCAACCGCCCAAAAUGAUAUUAACUACUGACAUCUGACUUUACUAUUACCUUUUACAGAUAAUUGAUAGUAUUGUUCACAUUGGAAAUAAAGCUUGUUUGAAAUUAAUUCUCCCUUAGCCC
ensembl:lncRNA